CAGUAGCCACGGGAAUACGUAGGGUGCAUGCGUUAAUCGGAAUUACUGGGCGUAAAGCGUGCGCAGGCGGUUAUAUAAGCCAGAUGUGAAAUCCCCGGGCUCAACCUGGGAACUGCAUUUGAGACUGUAUGGCUAGAGUGUGUCAGAGGGGGGUAGAAUUCCACGUGUAGCAGUGAAAUGCGUAGAUAUGUGGAGGAACGCCGAUGGCGAAGGCAGCCCCCUGGGAUAACACUGACGCUCAUGCACGAAAGCGUGGGGAGCAAACAGGAUUAGAUACCCCAGUAGUCCCUGUCUCUUAUAC
rnacentral:rRNA from 1 species